rnacentral:lncRNA from 1 species
CAGAGUUGGACCUCACCAAGAUGGCCGCCGGGGUGCCCUGUUUGCCCGCCUACGUCCUCGCCAUGUGCAUCCGGCGCGCCGAUGACGUCAACGACGCGCGCCGGAUGCAGUCCCUCCUCAACGCCUCCAUUGCGGCCAUCAAGGACGUGACGCAGGGGCGCCGUGAGUUGGCGCUGAGCUCCUUCUGGUUGGCCAACUGCUG